rnacentral:misc_RNA from 1 species
CCGAGUUUACAACUCCCAAACCCCUGUGAACAUACCACUUGUUGCCUCGGCGGAACAGCCCGCUCCCGGUAAAACGGGACGGCCCGCCAGAGGACCCCUAAACUCUGUUUCUAUAUGUAACUUCUGAGUAAAACCAUAAAUAAAUCA